UGCAUGGACAAGAAAUCCUCCCCGGUUGACGGUUUCUCUUCUUAUCCUACUUGUGCGGAAGCUUUUCCGUUUCAUGUCAUCCAAAUGAUCCAUCGUCCCCUCCUUUGGGUUGGAGGCUGUAGAAAGAAGGCUCAAAACCCUGGAAAUGUGAGGACCGACAAAGCUUGAAUGGGCCCCGUCUCGUUAUUUGCCAUUUUGCUGCGACUCAACGGUUCACAAGAUGUGAUGCAUAUUAUAAUCCAUCUAUCACUGAGUAGAAAAGACCUAGCAUGGUCCAUGGUUUGCCCUUGGUUUCAUAGCCAGUAAGCAUCAAAAGGAGGAUUUCAACCAGGCUGCCGUUGGCCAAUAUUUGAACAAAGAGAGUUGUUCUACUGUCAGCUCUCUUCCUACCUGUGUGAAUUUAACAAGUCAUUUAGUCUUUCUGGUUCCCUGUUUUAUCAACUGCAACACCUGACUGAUGUGGGAAUCUGAUAACACGUGUCCAGAUGUAAAAUGAAUUAAUGUAAGCUAUCAUUAUGACCAAUGUUCUUCCUAAAGGGCUGCUUUGUUUCUUGGCUUGUUUGUUGGUUUGCAUUAUAUAUCAUUCUGACUGGUCCCCAAACCAGGGCAAAACAUAUCCCCAGCAUUUCACUUUGGAAAAAUUGCUCAUAACGAUGAAAAAAAAUGCCAUUUCCAAAUAUCACCUUCAGGCAUUGUGAGAUGAGGCAGCCCUAAUUUUUCAAAGAACAGAUAAGGCCAUUUGACAGCUUUUGAAUGUCAACAGGCCUUUUAGGCAAUGUCUUUGUAAAUGGAUAGACAGCUCUGAGAUCCUGAAACCAAUGUCUAAAACCAAAGUCAUUUCGCCAACACCUAGGAAUUCCAUGGGAGAAAAGAAAUAAAGCCUGAAGUUCAAAACCAAUAGUAGGUACCAUCUUUUUAGAUUCCUAAAGCUGGUGCUCCAGCAGGGAAGAAAGAGAUCAUCUUUAUAGAUCUAAGAGAAAUCAUUAAUAUUUCAAAAGGUAGCAAUAACAGUAGGUGACUUAUUCACGUGUCCCACAGUCCUCACAGAGGGGGAGGUGAGCAGUUUAACGUUAACAUUCUCAUCCCAAGAAAAAAUGAAAGGGGAAAAAUUGUUUUCUGGAAGCCACUUGGGCAUAAACAAUUGCUAAAAUGAGGUAUAAUGUAGAUUUGAUUUCUGGGGAACAUAAAGGAAUCAAUUAAAAUCAUCCUUUUUUCUAUGACUAACAAUGGUUAAGCUGAACUUUUUUUCUUUCUUUAAAAAUAUAAAAAUGAGGUCAUUUAGCUUCCCAUAGGUUGAUCUGUAAAAUUUAAA